rnacentral:snRNA from 1 species
AGCUUUGCGCAGUGGCAGUAUCCUCGCCAAUGAGGUUUAUCGGAGGCGCAAUUAUUACUGAUUAAAAUAAGUCAUACUCUCAGGGAAAACUGACACUGACGGGAACUAGUAAAGUGAAUUUAUAAAAGUAAUUC